AAUCACAUUUAAAAAAAUUUCAAUUACUUAAUUCCUUUCGUACUAAAAUAAUUCGGUUUUCCUUAAAAGAUAGAAACCAACCUGGCUCACGCCGGUUUGAACUCAAAUCAUGUAAAACUUUAAAGGUCGAACAGACCUACUUUUAUAACUGCUACAAUUAUAAAGACAUUUUAAUUCAACAUCGAGGUCGCAAACUUUUUUGUCGAUAAGCACUCUCAAAAAAAAUAACGCUGUUAUCCCUAAAGUAACUUAAGCUCUUAAUCUUUAACUAGGAUCAUUUAAAAAUUCAAUCAUUUAUAUAAUGUAUUAAAAAUUAAGCAGUUAAUGACUUUUAUACUCUUAUCGCCCCAAUAAAAUAAAUUCAAUUACUAAGUUUUUAUAAUUAAUUCAACCAAGUAAAAUUUUAAUAUUAAGCUUUCUAGGGUCUUAUCGUCCCUCUAAUUCAUCUAAGCCUUUUCACUUAAAAGUUAAAUUCAACAAACAACAUAGAAGACAGAUUUUCUUUUGUCCAACCAUUCAUACAAGAUUCCGAUUAAAAACCUAACGAUUAUGCUACCUUUGCACGGUCAAGAUACCGCGGCCAUUUAAAUACUUUUCAAUCAGUGGGCAGGUUAAACUUUUUAUACCUUCAAACAGACAUGUUUUUGAUAAACAGGCAAAGAAACAACUUUUGCCGAGUUCCUUUAUGCUGUUAUUUUACCUUUAAAUAACUUUAAUCAUUCCAUUAUUACUUCCUGACAACAAAAUUUUACUAAUAGAAUCAUUUUAUCUAAAUUUUUAUAGUUUAAUUUUUUUUUUAAAUACCACAAAAAGUUUAAACAAAUAUUAUUUACCUUUAAUUUAGUUAAAACACUUUACUAACAUAGCUACUUUUAAGCUUAAUUCAACACUAGUAACUCUUUAAACUCUUUAUUACUUUAUUUUAUAAAAAGCUAAUCCCUCCUACACUUAACUUUUACACUUCUUUCUCUGUAAAAAUCAAAUUAAAUUUUUUUUUUAAAAACUAGAUAUUACAAUACUCGCUUAGCAUUUCACCUUUAACUUUAUAUUAAAAAUUUAUUUUCUACAAAAAAAAGUUUAUAAAAUUAGCUAUAUUUUGUUUCGAGAUACCUAAUUGUAAUUAGUUUAUAUAGACUCUCCCUGAUACACAAGGUACAAAAUCUAAAAAUUACUAUCCUAUAUUUUCUUUUUUUCCUUUACAGUACUUUAAACUAUAGCCCACUACUUAUUUUUAUUAAAAAUUACUAACAAUUAAACUUUAAAAUUAUUUUUCUUUUAAAUCAAAUCUACAAUCCACUUAACCACAGGCAAAUCUUUUAUUCACUAAAUGUGCAUUCAACGCUUCUCCCCUUACAAUUUUCAAGAGUCUUCUUGUAUUCUAAACACUAUACAAUUUAUUAAACCCAAAUCAUAUGCAUAAUUUAUCUAUCUUUUCACUUUUUAUUCUAAAAUUUUAAAUAUAAUUCCAAGUCUUUUUUAACAAAAUUACUUUUUACCUACCUAAAACCCAAACAGGAUAAACUUAUACCUUAACUAUAAAUUACAUAAUUAAUUUCUAAUAACUAAUUUUAACAUUAAACACACAAAGUAUAAAAAAAAAUAAUUUAUUGUUACUAAAUAAAUUAUCCGUUACUAAGACUUUACUUUACUCAUUCAAUAAUUUACCCUUAACUCUUGAAAUUAACUUUUUUUAUGAAACUACAAUUAUUUAUUUUGACAAACAACAAAUAGCAGACAAACUUUAUUCUUCAAUUCCUUUUGUCCCUUUACUUUAUC
rnacentral:rRNA from 1 species